CACGUAGGGUGCGAGCGUGUCCGGAAUUAUUGGGCGUAAAGAGCUUGUAGGCGGUUUGUCGCGUCUGCUGUGAAAAUCCGGGGCUCAACCCCGGACUUGCAGUGGGUACGGGCAGACUAGAGUGUGGUAGGGGAGACUGGAAUUCCUGGUGUAGCGGUGGAAUGCGCAGAUAUCAGGAGGAACACCGAUGGCGAAGGCAGGUCUCUGGGCCACUACUGACGUGAGAAGCGAAAGCAUGGGGAGCGAACAGG
rnacentral:rRNA from 1 species